rnacentral:rRNA from 1 species
UACGGGGGGAGCAAGCGUUGUUCGGAUUUACUGGGCGUAAAGGGCGCGUAGGCGGUCACGACAAGUCAGUUGUGAAAUCUCCGGGCUUAACUCGGAACGGUCAACUGAUACUGUCGGACUAGAGUGCAGAAGGGGCAACUGGAAUUCUCGGUGUAGCGGUGAAAUGCGUAGAUAUUGGGAGGAACACCAGUGGCGAAGGCGGCUCACUGGACCGGAACUGACGCUGAGGCGCGAAAGCGUGGGGAGCAAACAGG